CCUACGGGACGCACCAGUGGGGAAUAUUGGACAAUGGGCGGAAGCCUGAUCCAGCAAUGCCGCGUGUGUGAAGAAGGUCUUCGGAUUGUAAAGCACUUUCGACGGGGACAAUGAUGACGGUAACCGGAGAAGAAGCCCCGGCUAACUUCGUGCCAGCAGCCGCGGUAAUACGAAGGGGGCUAGCGUUGUUCGGAAUUACUGGGCGUAGAGCGCGCGUAGGCGGAUAGAUAAGUCAGAGGUGAAAUCCCGGGGCUCAACCCCGGAAUUGCCUUUGAUACUGUUUAUCUUGAGUGCAGAAGAGGUAAGUGGAAUUCCGAGUGUAGAGGUGAAAUUCGUAGAUAUUCGGAGGGACACCAGUGGCGAAGGCGGCUUACUGGUCUGCAACUGACGCUGAGGCGCGAAAGCGUGGGGAGCAAACAGGAUUAGAUACCCUUGUAGUC
rnacentral:rRNA from 1 species